AAUUAGAAGCCCUCUACGUUGCUGAGUCACUUCAGGGAAGAGGGCUGCCCUGAGGAGUCACUCAACUUCCUCUGGACUCUGCAUGAACCAGAAAUAGGGUACCUGAUUUCAAGAUUCAAGGCCACCAUUUAGGCUUAGAUUUCACCUCUUGCCCCAAGAAUGUAGACCAUCUGAGAUCUAAAGGUGAAUGGCGAAAUAAACUGGCACAGUCAUACCAUGGAAUGCAGCAAUAAAAAUGAGUAAGCUAUUGAUACACACAAGAACUUGGAUGGCUCUUUCAAGGACAUUAUGUGGAGUGUGAAAAGGAGUGCUUCUCCACACGAUUGACAUCAGAAUUACCAUGGGAGAUGUUAAAAGGUACAGAUGCUCAGGUGCCCAGAUGUGGUUUGAGUUGAUCAGGAUUCAAGCCUGGGCAAUGGAAUUAAUUUAGCAAUGACAAAUAACAACUGUAACAACAGCAAAU
rnacentral:lncRNA from 1 species